CUGAAGCUCGUGAGUUUUGGAGUAACUAACAUUCUGGAGGAGCUCACUUUAAGUCGACCGUUAGUCAAGUACGUAGGGAAGGAUGAAGAUAGCAAGCCUGAGUAUGGAUGCAGGGAUCUCGGACAUUCUUCAAUUAUCUUCCCCACUUCACGAUCGCAACUUAUUCUAAAAGGAUGGAACGAUGGCAACCUUAAUCUAAGAUUUCAACUGAAAACUGUGCAGCGCAACGCUAUCCUCCUUCUGGUUGCGAUUCAAGAUGAGAAUGACAUUGGGGGAAAAAUCAGUCUUCACUUGCUUGACAACAGAGUGCAAGGCGUAUUGGAAUUAGGAAAAGAAAAUGACCUUAUUACAUACACCAUGGUUGUUGGAGAACACUUGAAUAAUACCAUGUGACACACAGUGGAAUUUUCAAUUAUGGAAGGUUCUGCAACUUCAACAGUGGAUGCAGCGAAGACAAGCUUUCAGAUUACAAACCACACAUUGACCCCCACCAGUGACCUCUAUCUCGGUGGAGGUUGGACUAACACAGGUCAAGGUUUUGAAGGCUGCAUGCAAGAAAUCACGUUUCAGGCUGCUAUAAUUUAUCCAAACGAGAUUACGAAUACAAACAUGGUGAAUGGAGUUACGAUCGGAUCAUGCCAAGUUACGGAUCCUUGCCUUACGUCUGACCUAGCCUGUGA